rnacentral:rRNA from 1 species
UACGUAGGGUGCAAGCGUUGUCCGGAAUUAUUGGGCGUAAAGAGCUCGUAGGCGGUCUGUCGCGUCUGCUGUGAAAACUCAGGGCUUAACCCUGAGCUUGCAGUGGGUACGGGCAGACUAGAGUGCGGUAGGGGAGACUGGAAUUCCUGGUGUAGCGGUGAAAUGCGCAGAUAUCAGGAGGAACACCGGUGGCGAAGGCGGCAUCCUGGACCGACACUGACGCUGAGGAGCGAAAGCCAGGGGAGCAAACGGG